UUUGCCAUCGCCAGAUGGCUCACAACGCGCUUUGUUCUCCCGCCUUUAUAAACCCCUUGCUUCACCAGAAACUUCAUUCGAAACUUCGACUUCAAGAUAUCUCCAGACCUCGUACAGACAAACAGAAUUUUCGCAAACAUGGCGCGAGUUGCAUGCAUGAUACUUCUGCUGGUGGUAGCGGUGAUGUGUGUUACGGGAGAUCGACAUGGGGGAAAGGGCAAAGGUCUAUUACACCACUGUCACGACGCCCAUUGUUGCUUACACCAUCCUAACGCCCAUAACUGCUGCCCUGACCACCAUUGUUGCCAUCACCAUCCUCAUCGUGCAAACUGCUAGCACGGUCUUUUGAGAGGUUGAUAAACCACGAUGUGACAUGGAGCAAUCCACAGAAACCUGACGCACCGGAAUCGACUACACGGAAAUGGACUCUAUUUCUCUUUUACUGUCGUUGCUUAUUAAAUGUUCGUAUCGAUACGAGUAAAAAUUAAAUCGCAAAUGCUGGCAAUAACUAUGAAAA